rnacentral:rRNA from 1 species
UUCUCUGGCCAUACCACUGUGAAAAUACCUGAUCUUAGAAGCUAAGCAGGGUCUGACCUGGAUGGGAAACGCGUGAAGGGACCUUUUUGGGUUUUAGUAGGUGCUGAACAGA